rnacentral:rRNA from 1 species
CUUGUUUCGGGGGGCGGUGGGGCAGAAGAGAGGGUGGAGGGCACUAGAGGCAGCAGGGUGGAGGGUGCUAAGUAAACGUCCAGCUCCUUUCCUGCAGCGGGGUGGCGUGGACGGCCUAGACGACUAGGUCGCCGGCCUAGGCGGCUCGGUCGCCGGCCAAGGCGACUCGGUGGCCGGCCUAGGCGGCUCCGUCACCGGCCUAGAGCUAGAAGAUCAGCAGGGGCGGAAGAGGAGGCAGCCGCCGUCCGUCGUCUUUGCACGUUCCGCGCGUGCUGACGAGGUCGGUCUCCUUCCGCGCUCCACGCUGCGCUGCCGCGCACCAGCUCGGCCCGUGCUGUGCCCGUCCGUGGUGGAGUGGUCCCGCGCUGAUGCCGUCGGUUGUAGCCGCGGGUUUAGCGUAGGUGGCUUGGGUUCGCGCCCGAGGCCACCCGCACGCCAAGACGCAAGUUAUCCGUUCGCGCGCGCUCUUUCUCGCGACGAGUGCAGAAGGUCGCUUGGGGUUUCUCUCGUCUCCUCCUCUACUGGUUCCCGCUCCAAGGUAACUAGCCGUAGCUGGAACCCUGCUGGAUGAGGAUGCAGUCGCACACCGUCAUCCAGCUUUAGUACCGGUUGCUGGUCCCGUUGGCGUAUGGUGUGGUGCGGGAGGAUGCAGCGGACUUGGUCGAGCGUUACUUGGGGUGGUUGUGACAGAGGCGAUCUUUGGGUAACCACAUCAUAAAAUUGUCGACGAGUCCUCGUCGACAUGGUCUCGUUCUUAGUGUAGUAGCUGAAGAUGGACGAAGUAGAGUUCCUGUUUAGAGUACGUUG